CCUACGGGAUGCUGCAGUGGGGAAUAUUGGACAAUGGGCGAAAGCCUGAUCCAGCCAUGCCGCGUAUGUGAAGAAGGCCUUCGGGUUGUAAAGCACUUUCAGUGGGGAAGAAAGCCUUGGGGCUAAUACCCUCGAGGAAGGACAUCACCCACAGAAGAAGCACCGGCUAACUCCGUGCCAGCAGCCGCGGUAAUACGGAGGGUGCGAGCGUUAAUCGGAAUUACUGGGCGUAAAGCGCGCGUAGGCGGUCUGAUAAGCCGGUUGUGAAAGCCCCGGGCUCAACCUGGGAACGGCAUCCGGAACUGUCAGGCUAGAGUGCAGGAGAGGAAGGUAGAAUUCCCGGUGUAGCGGUGAAAUGCGUAGAGAUCGGGAGGAAUACCAGUGGCGAAGGCGGCCUUCUGGACUGACACUGACGCUGAGGUGCGAAAGCGUGGGUAGCAAACAGGAUUAGAUACCCGGGUAGUC
rnacentral:rRNA from 1 species